AGAGGGGGCCAAAAGAAUUGCUAACUCUUUAACCUGGAACUAACAACCAGCCCCCUC
rnacentral:tRNA from 1 species